GACGAACGCUGGCGGCGUGCUUAACACAUGCAAGUCGAACGGAAAGGCCCUGCUUUUGUGGGGUGCUCGAGUGGCGAACGGGUGAGUAACACGUGAGUAACCUGCCCUUGACUUUGGGAUAACUUCAGGAAACUGGGGCUAAUACCGGAUAGGAGCUCCUGCUGCAUGGUGGGGGUUGGAAAGUUUCGGCGGUUGGGGAUGGACUCGCGGCGUAUCAGCUUGUUGGUGGGGUAGUGGCUUACCAAGGCUUUGACGGGUAGCCGGCCUGAGAGGGUGACCGGCCACAUUGGUACUGCGGUGCGGCCGCGACUCCUACGGGAGGCAGCAGUGGGGAAUAUUGCACAAUGGGCGGAAGCCUGAUGCAGCAACGCCGCGUGCGGGAUGACGGCCUUCGGGUUGUAAUCCGCUUUCGCCUGUGACGAAGCGUGAGUGACGGUAAUGGGUAAAGAAGCACCGGCUAACUACGUG
rnacentral:rRNA from 1 species